AACGCAUAUUGCGCCCCUUGGUAUUCCGGGGGGCAUGCCUGUUCGAGCGUCAUUAUCACCCCUCAAGCUCCCGGCUUGGUGUUGGAUUUAGGCGUGGUCUCACCCACGGCUGGUCUCAAAGAUAGUGACGCCGUCCCCAGAGGGAACCGGUACGAGGAGCUUUUUAACCAGAGCAUGUGCCGGUAUGACCUGUGGGCGGCGGUCUAUACUUUUUUUAAACCUAAGUGUUGACCUCGGAUCAGGUAGGAAUACCCGCUGAACUUAA
rnacentral:misc_RNA from 1 species